rnacentral:rRNA from 1 species
ACGUGGUUUAAUUCGAAGCAACGCGAAGAACCUUACCAGGUCUUGACAUCCCCUGACAACCCGAGAGAUCGGGCGUUCCCCUUCGGGGGACAGGGUGACAGGUGGUGGCAUGGUUGUCGUCAGCUCGUGUCGUGAGAUGUUGGGUUAAGUCCCGCAACGAGCGCAACCCUCGACCUUAGUUGCCAGCAUUCAGUUGGGCACUCUAAGGUGACUGCCGGCUAAAAGUCGGAGGAAGUGGGGAUGACGUCAAAUCAUCAUGCCCCUUAUGACCUGGGCUACACACGUGCUACAAUGGGCGGUACAAAGGGUCGCGAACCCGCGAGGAGGAGCCAAUCCCAAAAAGCCGCUCUCAGUUCGGAUUGCAGGCUGCAACUCGCCUGCAUGAAGCCGGAAUCGCUAGUAAUCGCGGAUCAGCAUGCCGCGGUGAAUACGUUCCCGGGCCUU